rnacentral:rRNA from 1 species
AUUGAACGCUGGCGGCAUGCCUUACACAUGCAAGUCGAACGGUAACAGGUCUUCGGAUGCUGACGAGUGGCGAACGGGUGAGUAAUACAUCGGAACGUGCCCAGACGUGGGGGAUAACGAGGCGAAAGCUUUGCUAAUACCGCAUACGAUCUAAGGAUGAAAGCAGGGGACCGCAAGGCCUUGCGCGUUUGGAGCGGCCGAUGGCAGAUUAGGUAGUUGGUGGGAUAAAAGCUUACCAAGCCGACGAUCUGUAGCUGGUCUGAGAGGACGACCAGCCACACUGGGACUGAGACACGGCCCAGACUCCUACGGGAGGCAGCAGUGGGGAAUUUUGGACAAUGGGCGAAAGCCUGAUCCAGCAAUGCCGCGUGCAGGAUGAAGGCCUUCGGGUUGUAAACUGCUUUUGUACGGAACGAAAAGGCUCUGGCUAGUACCUGGGGCACAUGACGGUACCGUAAGAAUAAGCACCGGCUAACUACGUG